rnacentral:tRNA from 1 species
AAACGUAUGGUUUAGUGGUCAGAGCACUUGGGUGGUUGCCAAGAGGCGCGGACUCAAAUCCCGCUUCGUAAU